UACGGAGGGGGCUAGCGUUGUUCGGAAUUACUGGGCGUAAAGCGCACGUAGGCGGCUUUGUAAGUUAGAGGUGAAAGCCCGGGGCUCAACUCCGGAAUUGCCUUUAAGACUGCAUCGCUAGAAUUGUGGAGAGGUAAGUGGAAUUCCGAGUGUAGAGGUGAAAUUCGUAGAUAUUGGGAAGGAACACCGGUCGGCGAAGGCGGCGACCUGGUCCUUUUACUGGACGCUGAGGCGCGAAAGCGUGGGGAGCAACAGG
rnacentral:rRNA from 1 species